rnacentral:lncRNA from 1 species
GAAGUUAAUGAAAAUAUUUAUUCAAACCUAACUGUACAAGCUUAGUUAAAUAAACAUUAACUGUAUUAACUAUCCCUGGUUCUUUAGAAACAGACCACUUCCACAUUAUAAAAAUUUAUUACAACACAAAUUUCUGCAGUAAGGUUCAGCAAGUAAGACGUGAUUUCCACAUUGAGAACUGUUGUGUUAAAGUAGGAUGUUAAAGGCCCAGUAUUAAAAAAAAAAAAAGUUAAGGAAAAUGACUCAUAAAUAUAGACAUUUUCAGAAAAAACCUUGCAUAUACUGAUAAUAAACAAAACAGAAAGCACUUAAGAGAACAUACUUUAAUAUCUAGGCACAAUUGGUCAAAUAUGAAUUAUAAUUUCUGUACUCAUUUAAAGGUUUAAACCAAUUCUUCAACUUGACUGAUGUGUGUGAGUCUAACAUACAGAAGGCACCUCUUUCAUUCUCCUUAAGGACCUUUUGAGAAUAACUCUAUAAUAAGGGGUACAGAGACAGCAUCCUCUAUCCAAGUGUAACACAGCCCAUUUUAGGAGAAACUAAAUUAAAAUAGAAAACUAUGAUUUCUCUUUUUACAUCUUAUGAUGGACAUGGCUUUCUAAAAGGACAACAGAAGAUAAUCCUCCAUACAAGCUUUAACAUAGAACACAAAAUUUAAAUUAAAUGUGCAUUGGUCACUA